GAUGAAGAACGUAGCGAGAUGCGAUAAGUAAUGUGAAUUGCAGAAUUCAGUGAAUCAUCGAAUCUUUGAACGCACAUUGCGCCCGCCAGUAUUCUGGCGGGCAUGCCUGUUCGAGCGUCAUUUCAACCAUCAAGCCCUGCUUGCGUUGGGGUCCUGCGGCUGCCCGCAGGCCCUGAAAACCAGUGGCGGGCUCGCUAGUCACACCGAGCGCAGUAAUACAUCUCGCUUUGGGCGUGCGGCGGGUUCUUGCCGUUAAACACCCCCUUUUUACCAAGGUUGACCUCGGAUCAGGUAGGAAUACCCGCUGAACUUAAGCAUAUCAAUAAGCGGAGGA
rnacentral:misc_RNA from 1 species